CCAUAGUACGCUUNGGAAACUGUUUAACUUGAGUGCAAGAGGGGAGAGUGGAAUUCCAUGUGUAGCGGUGAAAUGCGUAGAUAUAUGGAGGAACACCGGUGGCGAAAGCGGCUCUCUGGCUUGUAACUGACGCUGAGGCUCGAAAGCGUGGGGAGCAAACAGGAUUAGAUACCCUGGUAGUCCACGCCGUAAACGAUGAGUGCUAGGUGUUAGACCCUUUCCGGGGUUUAGUGCCGCAGCUAACGCAUUAAGCACUCCGCCUGGGGAGUACGACCGCAAGGUUGAAACUCAAAGGAAUUGACGGGGGCCCGCACAAGCGGUGGAGCAUGUGGUUUAACUCGAAGCAACGCGAAGAACCUUACCAGGUCUUGACAUCCCUCUGACCGCUCUAGAGAUAGAGUUUUCCUUCGGGACAGAGGUGACAGGUGGUGCAUGGUUGUCGUCAGCUCGUGUCGUGAGAUGUUGGGUUAAGUCCCGCAACUAGCGCAACCCCUAUUGUUAGUUGCCAUCAUUCAGUUGGGCACUCUAGCGAGACUGCCGGUAAUAAACCGGAGGAAGGUGGGGAUGACGUCAAAUCAUCAUGCCCCUUAUGACCUGGGCUACACACGUGCUACAAUGGCUGGUACAACGAGUCGCAAGCCGGUGGCGGCAAGCUAAUCUCUUAAAGCCAGUCUCAGUUCGGAUUGUAGGCUGCAACUCGCCUACAUGAAGUCGGAAUCGCUAGUAAUCGCGGAUCAGCACGCCGCGGUGAAUACGUUCCCGGGCCUUGUACACACCGCCCGUCACACCACGAG
rnacentral:rRNA from 1 species